GGAGGGACGGAGAAGGUUAGGUAUACCGGGCGUUGGUUGUCCCGGGGAAAGCAGGUAGGCGGAUCCCUUAGGCAAAUCCGGGGGGUCAUUAACGCCGAGCAGCGAGACGAGCCCUUUAGGGCGAAGUUACCGAUACCACGCUUCCAGGAAAAUCUCCUAAGCUUCAGCUCAUGCAGACCGUACCGUAAACCGACACAGGUGGGCAGGAUGAGAAUUCUAAGGCGCUUGAGAGAACUCGGGUGAAGGAACUAGGCAACAUGGCACCGUAACUUCGGGAGAAGGUGCGCCCUUUCUGGUGGCUGCAUGCGCAGCUGAGCUGGGAGGGGCCGCAGUGACCAGGCCGCUGCGACUGUUUAUCAAAAACACAGCACUCUGCAAACACGAAAGUGGACGUAUAGGGUGUGACGCCUGCCCGGUGCUGGAAGGUUAAUUGAUGGGGUCAGCCGCAAGGCGAAGCUCUUGAUCGAAGCCCCAGUAAACGGCGGCCGUAACAAUAACGGUCCUAAGGUAGCGAAAUUCCUUGUCGGGUAAGUUCCGACCUGCACGAAUGGCGUAACGACAGCGGCGCUGUCUCCACCCGAGACUCAGUGAAAUUGAAAUCGCUGUGAAGAUGCAGCGUUCCCGCGGCAAGACGGAAAGACCCCGUGAACCUUUACUAUAGCUUUACACUGAACGUUGAGUUCGUCUGUGUAGGAUAGGUGGGAGCCUAUGAAACCCUGGCGCUAGCUGGGGUGGAGGCAACCUUGAAAUACCACCCUGUCGUGCUUGACGUUCUAACCUGGGCCCGUAAUCCGGGUCGGGGACCGUGUAUGGUGGGUAGUUUGACUGGGGCGGUCUCCUCCCAAAGAGUAACGGAGGAGCACGAAGGUACGCUCAGCGCGGUCGGACAUCGCGCACUGUGUGCAAAGGCAUAAGCGUGCUUGACUGCAAGAUCGACGGAUCAAGCAGGUACGAAAGUAGGUCUUAGUGAUCCGGUGGUUCUGUAUGGAAGGGCCAUCGCUCAACGGAUAAAAGGUACUCCGGGGAUAACAGGCUGAUACCGCCCAAGAGUUCAUAUCGACGGCGGCGUUUGGCACCUCGAUGUCGGCUCAUCACAUCCUGGGGCUGUAGUCGGUCCCAAGGGUAUGGCUGUUCGCCAUUUAAAGUGGUACGCGAGCUGGGUUCAGAACGUCGUGAGACAGUUCGGUCCCUAUCUGUCGUGGGCGUUGGAGAUUUGAGAGGGGCUGCUCCUAGUACGAGAGGACCGGAGUGGACGAACCUCUGGUGUUCCGGUUGUCACGCCAGUGGCAUUGCCGGGUAGCUAUGUUCGGAAGCGAUAACCGCUGAAAGCAUCUAAGCGGGAAGCGCGCCUCAAGAUGAGAUCUCCCGGGACUUUAGUCCCCUGAAGGAACCAUCAAGACUAGGUGGUUGAUAGGCUGGGUGUGUAAGCACAGCAAUGUGUUGAGCUAACCAGUACCAAUGAUCAA
rnacentral:rRNA from 1 species